AUGGAGUCGGCGCUGAUACGCCACUGCCCGUGGCGCACAGGGGACCGUGGCUGUGCAGACUCGGACGACCUGUGGGCGCACAUCGCUUACCACCAGGCGGACGGCCCUAGCGGCCCAUUAAUCACCGGGUAUUUGUCUCUGGCCGGGGACAAAGGGGGCAAGGAGUGGGCCAUCCGACUGGCAUCGAGCUCUUUCGGAUGCGUUAUGAGCUGGAAGGGAGUGGCCUUUCGGCCCAGCGACGAGGUGGGCAGCCUGCCUCUGGCGCGGGGGAAGCCCCGCGGCGCGGGGAACCCCACACCCGCCCAGGAGUUCGCUCGCUGCAUCCAGCACGUGCGGGAAGCGGGAGAGGCCACCCCGGCCGAUAAGUUUAAUUGCCCGAACCUGCCUCCCGAUUCGCGCGGACACGAACUACUGACGCGACUCCGCGAGAGCUUAGAGUCGGAAGGCCGGACGGCGGCGAAGUGGACCGGGCCCAAGUGGGACAAGGGCAAAAUGAUGAACGUCCUGUUCCGCGCCGUGUCGGUCUUGCUGCGCGAGAACGCGAACUUGGAGGCGCAGCUGCGCACGGCCAGCGAACACGCCGCGGCCCUGGCGCUGAGGGGCAGCCCGCCGCCGCCGCCCCAAGAUGGCGCCCGCCAGGAGCAGCCGCUGCGCAGGCGCUACCCCAGCCUGGAGGCGCUGGCGGAAGGGACGUCACGGCCGGACCGCCCCCCCGCCACGGCGCCGCCCCCUCCGUACGCGGAAGACGCUCCCGCGGCCCCGGCGCCGGCAGCCGGAGCGCCUGCUGGCGGGGGCGGCGCGGCGAGCGCGAACUCACGCGGCCCCCGCACGCGCGCCGAGAUGGCCGGUCUCCGGGAGGAGACAGGCAUCCGGCCGGGAGAGACGCCUGUCGUCUGGCUGGGCCGCUUAGUAGUAGAGGCAGGAUACGAAACCCUCGACGCAGGGGAAGCGGUGCAGCUAGCCCGCAGCGCGGCGUGGAGCCGCGGGAUAGUCACCGGCUCCGAUGCCGUCCUCCAGAACCGACACUGGCCGAUUCCCCUCCCGGCUCUCGCGGUGGAAGCCCUCUUCCAAAAGCCGCAUGUCUGGCACAAAGGGCGAAAUGAUGAUGACACCAGCUCCGCCGAAACCCUCCUUUUCGCUGUAGUCGGGUGCUCGUACGCCAUGUGGUACCCAGGAACCAGCCCCAUGGGGUUGGCCCAAGCACACCAAAACGGGCGCUGGCCUCACCGAUUCCUCUUCAGCCCAGGCGCGGUCCCGUGUACCGCAGAAGCCAUCGAAAGUGCCACCGAGCUCUACGGAGGGCCCCAAGGGUUACUGAGUAAACUACUGCUAAACUUGAACAUCGGACAACCGGUAUUGUCUGUCCUCAGUCACCAAGGCCAGUUACAAGCAACUAUGGGCCAGGGCCCCGGCAAGCGAGCGCAAGUCCAAGUCGCCACCUCUACCUACCUGCCGCAAAAGGGGGGCGGCGUAGGCGCCCGCUACCCCCGACGACAGCCGCCUCAACGAUCAGCAGAGGAGAGGGCCAUGUUCGGAUUCCUGCUAAACCACUCCAAGCUCAGCAAAGCCCAGCUGCGGAUGCUAGGAGAUGAAGGUCAGUGCCAUCUCGCCGAAUGUUUCGGAUUCAAGUGGACAUCUGACCACCAACAAAAGAAACUAAGUGCAGCCGACGACUUGCGAUCCUACAGCCGCCUCGCCGUCGCAGACAUCAUAACUGACUUACCCUAUAGGCACUUAGAACAAAUACAGUAA
rnacentral:lncRNA from 1 species